CCUGCCAGAGGUUACUGCUAUCGAGGUUCGACUAAGCCAUGCGAGUCGAAUGUAGCAAUACAUGGCGUACUGCUCAGUAACACGUGGACAACCUGCCCUUAGGUCGGGUAUAAACCCGGGAAACUGGGUAUAAUCCCCGAUAGGUCUCGGCUGCUGGAAUGCAUCGAGAUUGAAAGCUCCGGCGCCUAAGGAUGGGUCUGCGGCCUAUCAGGUAGUAGUGGGUGUAGCGUACCUACUAGCCUACGACGGGUACGGGUUGUGAGAGCAAGAGCCCGGAGAUGGAUUCUGAGACACGAAUCCAGGCCCUACGGGGUGCAGCAGGCGCGAAAACUUUACAAUGCUGGCAACAGCGAUAAGGGAACCUCGAGUGCCAGGUUACAAAUCUGGCUGUCGAGAUGCCUAAAAAGCAUUCAUAGCAAGGGC
rnacentral:rRNA from 1 species